rnacentral:rRNA from 1 species
ACUGCAGGACACAUGAACAUCGACAUUUCGAACGCACAUUGCGGUCCUCGGAUACUGUUCCUGGACCACUCCUGGCUGAGGGUCGCAUCCAUCAGACUGCCGGCUUGUAUUCUCUUCGGAGAGUGCGAGUCGCGCGAAAUUGAGAGUUCGCUCGGGUUCCCGCACGGGUCCUGCCGGCGUCUCUUUAAAUCACAGAACGGUCGUUUCCGAGCCCUCGCGGGUCAGGUACGACUUUACGAGCGUCGGCGCUUUGCGCCCGUACGGCUUCGCGUUCAGCGCGAGACCGCCCGGUUGACGUGUCCUAGACUACUUUGACUAGAAGACGUCUGACCGCCGGCGCGUCCGCGUGCGUUGCAUCCAAACGUACGGUCGCAUCUUCGACAGUGCCACGCGCAAAUUAUUCCAUUAUGCGACCUCAGAGCAGGUGAGACUACCCC